ACCAUUAUCUAUCAUUUCCUUCUCAAGUGCCCCCUCGUAUUAAUAUCCCUCGCAGACUCCAUUCCAAACACGUGAAAAUCGAAUACCAUUUGUAAGCGCGCAGGAGGGUCUUUAAGUUCCUCUCGGUGGCGCAAACACACCGUGGAAUAAGUUUGUUAUGGUGAAGGCGGCGGUGGCUGGCAAGCCGUUUUUCACCAACUUCCUGCACGGCGGCAUUUGGGAGGUAAAGGCUUAUAAUACUUCAUCUUUAUCACUGCUGGGGGAGAGGAACACGCAGGAACAAUGUGCAUUGCCACCAAAGGGUUCACAAAUCCCUUCCUGACACCUCUUACAGAUUCCAUGCAUUUCUUCCUGUGGUGAUGAGCGGGCGAGCGGCGCGGCUUGCGUCAGGCAGCGAGGCGCGAGAUGUGAGCGGCCAAGGUUUAGCCAAUCAGCGAGUGGCGAGGCGCUGUGUUGUGGGGUCCCGCAGAGCUGCCAACAUCUGCAAAGAGAAAGAGAGAGAGAGAGAGAGAGAUGAAGGGGAGGGAAGGCCCACAGCCAAAAGGUGUGAAUGGAUUUACUUGAUCCCCUUCCUUUGAGUGAACUGCCGCCCUUCGUAUGGAAACUUUUACUUGUUAAGUUAAUCCACCAGAGAUUAGAAGAUGUGGAAGAGUGGAAAAAGACAUGCCCUGGGUCCAUCAUUUUUGCGGUAACACGGAGAGCAAGUGGAAGAAAGAAACCUUGGGAGACUUCCAUGACUCAGGAACAAGCACACCUCACUGGGAGCCUUGUGACUGACAGGUGAUGUCACAGAGAGCAAGUAGAAGAAAGCCUGGGAGACUUGCUUAACUCAGGAGCAAGAGCUGUGCCUCACCGGGGGCUCUGCAAUGUGUGGCAGCGACUGCAGGAAUCAACACUCGGGUUUGUCAGCACAGUCACAACGACUUUGUUCAUCAGACUGUUGGUGAAAGAUUCCACAGACCGACUGGGAGACACACAAUGUCAGUGCCACCGUGCAGGGAGUGAGGCCCAAGAGGAGGAAGAGGAGCAUUCAAGAAAUCAGCUGGCCAGCAGUCCAUUCAGGCUUCCAAGUUGAUAAUCCAAAAGCCAGCAGAUGACAGCUUCCUUCCAGCACACACUUGUAUCGCCCAACUUGACCUGCCUGAAUACAAGCUGAUACAGUCCAUGCAGCAGAGAGUGUAGCCUCUACAAGUGAUGGAGGGUUGAGGGAGCCAGAAGGGCAUGGACACUUGGAUAUGGAUGACACUGGUUUGGGUGCCAAAUAUUAAUAGUGCACCUACACAAUUACCACACUCGAUCCUCUCACCAGGCUUAACUAUAAAUAAUUAAAGGAGUGAGUGAGGAGGCACAUUUGUCUGUGAUUAAGGAAUGCAAAUGACGAUGUUCCAAGGACGUCACCCUGUCCUGGGCCAUGACAUGAGAGAGAAGAGGAAAAAAAGGACUCUCUCUCUCUCUCAGUUUCCAUAACAUACCAAACUGCUCUGGUGUUAAUUUCAUGAAUUGCUGUAUAAUAGAAAUGGGAAUGUUAGUUCAAUGCAUUUAGCUCUGAGUGUGAAAGAAUGACAAGAAAGAAUGCAGAGGAUACUAGAACACAUGCACAGAAAACUGAAAGAUUUUUAAACUUCUGAAUAGGUGUGAAAAAAAAAAAAAAUGCAAAAUCAGUGUCUCCUUAAAACAACACAUGACAGCAAUGAUAACUUACACAACAAUAAUGCUUGAUGAAGACUAUAUUUCCAACACAGAUUUAUGACAACAUUUGGCAAAGCUGUGCACUGUUUGUGUUAAAACUAUCCUCUCAUGGCGAAGUUGGUUAGUCAUUAUAGGGUUAUGAUGAUAUAAUGGUGUUUAUUUUAGCUAAUUUCCAAUGACUCCUAAUAAUAUAAGAUUAAGUAAGUAUUUCAUUGUUUACAUUAAUUUACAAAAUUUCACAACUACAACCUCAGUGAUGUUUAGUUAAUCCAAUUUUGUUCAUAACUACUACACUUUUUCCAGUGGUUUACCCAUAGUACAACACAAACAACUACAAUAUCAUUCAUGUUAUUUCACUUCCAAAAAAAUUAAACAACUAUGUACAUGAUCUAGUUUACAAUAAAAGGAUUUUGAACAAUA